GCUUGUGUAGCUCAGCGGGUAGAUGAAUGGACUGGCAACACAAAGGUCAGAGGUUCGAAUCCCACCAGCA
rnacentral:tRNA from 1 species